GACGAACCGUGCAAACGUUGUUCGGAUUCAUUGGGCGUAAAGGGUGCGUAGGUGGCGCGGUAAGUCGGGUGUGAAAUCUCGGGGCUUAACUUCGGGUCGGCCGUUGAUACUGCUGUGCUCGAGCACUGUAGAGGCAGGUGGAAUUCCGGGUGUAGCGGUGGAAUGCGUAGAGAUCCGGAAGAACACCGGUGGCGAAGGCGG
rnacentral:rRNA from 1 species